rfam:Cavia porcellus supercont2_40 genomic scaffold, whole genome shotgun sequence.
GGGGGUUUAGCUCAGCGGCAUAAGCGCCUGCCUUGCAAGCAGGCAGUUGUGAGUUCAAUCCCUG